AGUGAACGCUGGCGGUAGGCCUAACACAUGCAAGUCGAACGGCAGCACAGUAAGAGCUUGCUCUUACGGGUGGCGAGUGGCGGACGGGUGAGGAAUACAUCGGAAUCUACUUUUUCGUGGGGGAUAACGUAGGGAAACUUACGCUAAUACCGCAUACGACCUACGGGUGAAAGCAGGGGAUCUUCGGACCUUGCGCGAUUGAAUGAGCCGAUGUCGGAUUAGCUAGUUGGCGGGGUAAAGGCCCACCAAGGCGACGAUCCGUAGCUGGUCUGAGAGGAUGAUCAGCCACACUGGAACUGAGACACGGUCCAGACUACUACGGGGGGCAGCAGUGGGGAAUAUUGGACAAUGGGCGCAAGCCUGCUCCAGCUAUACCGGGUGGGUGAAGAAGGCCUUCGGGUUGUAAAGCCCUUUUGUUGGGAAAGAAAAGCAGCAGGUUAAUACCCCGCUGUUUUGACGGUACCCAAAGAAUAGGCACCGGCUAACUUCGUG
rnacentral:rRNA from 1 species